rnacentral:rRNA from 1 species
GUCUACAGCUAUGCCACCAUGAACGCGCCCAAUCUCAUCUGAUCUCAGAAGCUAAGCAGGGUCGGGCCUGGUUAGUACUUGCAUGGGAGACCACUAGGAAGACCAGGUGUUGUUUUGU